rnacentral:rRNA from 1 species
AUUGAACGCUGGCGGCAUGCUUUACACAUGCAAGUCGAACGGUAACAGGCCGCAAGGUGCUGACGAGUGGCGAACGGGUGAGUAAUGCAUCGGAACGUGCCCAGUCGUGGGGGAUAACGCAGCGAAAGCUGCGCUAAUACCGCAUACGAUCUCUGGAUGAAAGCGGGGGACCGAAAGGCCUCGCGCGAUUGGAGCGGCCGAUGUCAGAUUAGGUAGUUGGUGGGGUAAAGGCCCACCAAGCCAACGAUCUGUAGCUGGUCUGAGAGGACGACCAGCCACACUGGGACUGAGACACGGCCCAGAAUCCUACGGGAGGCAGCAGUGGGGAAUUUUGGACAAUGGGCGCAAGCCUGAUCCAGCAAUGCCGCGUGCAGGAAGAAGGCCUUCGGGUUGUAAACUGCUUUUGUACGGAACGAAACGGUUCGGGUUAAUACCCUGGGCUAAUGACGGUACCGUAAGAAUAAGCACCGGCUAACUACGUGCCAGCCGCCGCAGUAAUAC